UGGCCUCGUGGUUCAAACAUCCGUCUGGUAAUCCAGAGGAUGCGGGUUCAUUCCCGGCAG
rnacentral:tRNA from 1 species